rnacentral:rRNA from 1 species
GACGAACGCUGGCGGCGUGCUUAACACAUGCAAGUCGAACGGAAAGGCCCUGCUUUUGUUGGUUGCUCGAGUGGCGAACGGGUGAGUAACACGUGAGUAACCUGCCCUUGACUUUGGGAUAACUUCAGGAAACUGGGGCUAAUAUCGGAUAGGAGCUCCUGCUGCAUGGUGGGGGUUGGAAAGUUUCGGCGGUUGUGGAUGGACUCGCGGCUUAUCAGCUUGUUGGGGGGGUAGGGGCUUUCCAAGGCUUUGACGGGUAGCCGGCCUGAGAGGGUGACCGGGGACAUUGGGCCUGAGAUAGGGACCAGACUCGAAUCGGACGCAGCAGUCGGAAACAUUGCAGAGUGAGGCGGCGCCUGAUGCAGCGACGUCGCGAGCGGAAUACUCGCUUUCGGGUUAAAAACCAAUUUCGAAUGAGACGAAGAGUGAGUGACGGUACUGAGUCAGAAAGCAACGGCUAACUACGUG